rnacentral:rRNA from 1 species
UACGAAGGGGGCUAGCGUUGUUCGGAAUUACUGGGCGUAAAGCGCACGUAGGCGGAUAUUUAAGUCGGGGGUGAAAUCCCGGGGCUCAACCCCGGAACUGCCUUCGAUACUGGGUAUCUUGAGUUCGGAAGAGGUGAGUGGAAUUGCGAGUGUAGAGGUGAAAAUUCGUAGAUAUUCGCAGGAACACCAGUGGCGAAGGCGGCUCACUGGUCCGAUACUGACGCUGAGGUGCGAAAGCGUGGGGAGCAAACAGGG